AGGUCUUGCAGAUUUUCUUUCUGGGAUAUCUUUCACUCUACCAGUCUGUCACUUCAAUCAUAUGCAUGAGCUGAGAGUUAUCAGAGAACCUUUCUAGUGGAAACCAGCAGAAAGUGUGACUUUCGUUGGCAGGUUACAGGGCAGGCAUUGGAAUAGGAUAACUGAUAUUGACCCACACUGUCAAUCUGAUCAAUAAUUUUUGCAAUGGAGGGCCCACGUGAAUCUCUUGAAUCUCUCUCGUAAUUUGGAUUAAGCAUGAGUGGAUUCUAAUACUCGCUGACAUUUUUGCCCUUGUUAUGCGCUUCUCUGUGGCUACUGGUAAGUAUCUUUUAUUCAUUUGACCUCAAGGAUUGUCUGAUUUCCAAGGAUUUUUUACUUUUUAUUAUUAUUAUUUUUUAAGUAAAAUGAAAAACAUCUCCCACCCUCCGCCCUUCAAGGGAUCAUG